UUAAGCAAAAAAGAGCGCAGGGUGGAUGCCUUGGCACUAAGAGCCGAAGAAAGACGUGAUAAGCUGCGAAAAGCUGCGGGGAGAUGCAAAUAAUCCUUGAUCCGCAGAUGUCUGAAUGGGGAAACCCGGCUGGAAGGACUCCAGUCAUCCAUACGCCAAUCCAUAACGUAUGGAAGGGAACCCGGUGAACUGAAACAUCUAAGUAGCCGGAGGAAGAGAAAGAAACAUCGAUUUUGUUAGUAGCGGCGAGCGAAAGCGAAAGAGGCCAAACCGGAGUGCGUGCACUCCGGGGUUCGGACCGAAUUUAAGAUUCAGUGAUUCUAGCAGAAAGGUUUGGGAAAGCCUGCCGGAGAGGGUGAAAGCCCCGUAAGCGAAAGGAGAGCUGACUGAGCGGAAUCCAGAGUACAUCGAGACACGAGAAACCUUGAUGGAAUGAGCGGGGACCACCCCGUAAGCCUAAAUACUACUUAGUGACCGAUAGCGCAUAGUACUGUGAAGGAAAGGUGAAAAGGACCCCGGGAGGGGAGUGAAAGAGAACCUGAAACCCUGUGUCUACAAGCUGUGGGACCUCUUUAUAUGAGGGACUGCGUACUUUUUGUAGAACGGUCCGGCGAGUUGUGCGUACUGGCGAGGUUAAGGACUUAAGGUCUGGAGCCGAAGUGAAAGCAAGCGUUAAUAGCGCGUCAAGUCAGUGAGUGCAGACCCGAAACCGGGUGACCUAUCCAUGUCCAGGUUGAAGCUUCCGUAAGAGGAAGUGGAGGACCGAACCCACAUCCGUUGAAAAGGGUGGGGAUGAGGUGUGGAUAGCGGAGAAAUUCCAAUCGAACCCGGAGAUAGCUGGUUCUCCUCGAAAUAGCUUUAGGGCUAGCCUCGUAUUAGUCUAGUGGAGGUAGAGCACUGAAUUUCCUAGGGGGCGUCAAAGCUUACCGAAGAAUAUCAAACUCCGAAUGCCAGCCAGAUGAUGACCGGGAGUCAGACUGCACGAGAUAAGUUGGGUAGUCAAAAGGGAAAGAGCCCAGACCUGCAGCUAAGGUCCCAAAAUGUGUGUUAAGUGGAAAAGGAUGUGGGAUUUCGAAGACAACUAGGAUGUUGGCUCAGAAGCAGCCAUACAUUCAAAGAGUGCGUAAUAGCUCACUAGUCGAGAGGUCCUGCGCCGAAAAUGUCCGGGGCUGAAACACAACACCGAAGCUUAGGAAUGUAGAAAUACAUUGGUAGAGGAGCAUUCUUAAAGGAAUGAAGCAGUACCGGUAAGGAGCUGUGGACUUUUAAGAAGAGAGAAUGCCGGAAUGAGUAGCGAGAUGGAGGUGGGAAUCCUCCAGGCCGAAUAUCUAAGGUUUCCAGAGUAAAGCUGAUCUGCUCUGGGUAAGUCGGGACCUAAGGCGAGGUCGAAAGACGUAGUCGAUGGAUAACAGGUUGAAAUUCCUGUACCGCAUAUAAACAGAACUGUGGGGACACAGACAGGGAAUGGAAUCCGGGAGUGGAUAUCCCGGUGCAAGCGAGGUAGGAGUGCUGUUGGCAAAUCCGCAGCACGAUCUGAAGACGUGACGCGUACCGAACAUAAGUAGAGAAGUCCAGGCCCCUGGCUGUCAAGAAAAGCCGCUAUUGUUUUAUAUGUGCCCGUACCGCAAACCGACACAGGUGGAUGAGGAGAGAAUCCUAAGGCCGACGGGAGAAGUAUUGUUAAGGAACUCGGCAAAAUGACUCCGUAACUUCGGGAGAAGGAGUGCCAUGAGAGUGGCCGCAGAGAAAUGGCCCAAGCAACUGUUUAGCAAAAACACAGGUCUAUGCAAAACCGCAAGGUGAAGUAUAUGGGCUGACGCCUGCCCGGUGCUGGAAGGUUAAGGGGAGAGGUUAGCGCAAGCGAAGCUUUGAACUUAAGCCCCAGUAAACGGCGGCCGUAACUAUAACGGUCCUAAGGUAGCGAAAUUCCUUGUCGGGUAAGUUCCGACCCGCACGAAAGGCGUAAUGAUUUGAGCGCUGUCUCGACAAUGCAUCCGGUGAAAUUGAAGUACCAGUGAAGAUGCUGGUUACCUGCGCCAGGACGGAAAGACCCCAUGGAGCUUUACUCCA
rnacentral:rRNA from 1 species